UUAGAGUUUGAUCCUGGCUCAGAUUGAACGCUGGCGGCAGGCUUAACACAUGCAAGUCGAGCGGUAACAGGAGAAGCUUGCUUCUCGCUGACGAGCGGCGGACGGGUGAGUAAUACUUAGGAAUCUACCUAGUAGUGGGGGAUAGCUCGGGGAAACUCGAAUUAAUACCGCAUACGACCUACGGGAGAAAGGGGGCAACUUGUUGCUCUCGCUAUUAGAUGAGCCUAAGUCGGAUUAGCUAGAUGGUGGGGUAAAGGCCUACCAUGGCGACGAUCUGUAGCUGGUCUGAGAGGAUGAUCAGUCACACCGGGACUGAGACACGGCCCGGACUCCUACGGGAGGCAGCAGUGGGGAAUAUUGGACAAUGGGGGCAACCCUGAUCCAGCCAUGCCGCGUGUGUGAAGAAGGCCUUUUGGUUGUAAAGCACUUUAAGCAGUGAAGAAGACUCCAUGGUUAAUACCCAUGGACGAUGACAUUAGCUGCAGAAUAAGCACCGGCUAACUCUGUGCCAGCAGCCGCGGUAAUACAGAGGGUGCAAGCGUUAAUCGGAAUUACUGGGCGUAAAGCGAGCGUAGGUGGCUUGAUAAGUCAGAUGUGAAAGCCCCGGGCUUAACCUGGGAACGGCAUCUGAUACUGUUAGGCUAGAGUAGGUGAGAGGAAGGUAGAAUUCCAGGUGUAGCGGUGAAAUGCGUAGAGAUCUGGAGGAAUACCGAUGGCGAA
rnacentral:rRNA from 1 species